ensembl:misc_RNA Metazoa_SRP Metazoan signal recognition particle RNA
GCCGAGCGUGGUGGCUCACGCCUGUAGUCCCAGCUACUUGGGAGGCUGAGGCAGGAGAAUUGCUUGAACCCGGGAGGCUGAGGUUGCAGUGAGCUGAGAUCAUGCUACUGCACUCCAGCCUGGGUGACAGAGUGAGACUCUGUCUCCA